AGCUCAGCUGGAUAGAGCGUUUGACUACGAAUCAAAAGGCCAGGGGUUCGAAUCCCUUC
rnacentral:tRNA from 1 species